CUAGAAACCAACAACCAUGGGUUAAAGGAUAUUAGGUCAAGUCAAGGGAUCAUAUUAAAUAAUCUAAUAUGAAUUCAGACAGAUCUCUGUCUACAGGAGGCAAAGUUAAUCAUAUUCUAAACACCAAUACAUAGUAAACACAAUGGACUAAAUGUAAGUGCCGAAACUUCCACACUAAUACUAAUACAUAAAAAUUGGAACAUACUGCUUACUUUAGAUCAAAAUGUUAAAGCAAAGCCUGUAGUGAAGGUGCUUCUCGGCAAACGUGAAUCCUCCUGGUAGAAAGAGCUAUUGCUGCUCUGAAGGAACGUAGAAAGUCAGGCCUUAGCCGCACAACUACCUGUGAGCCACGAACACUAAGUACAUCCACGUGACCUGCACCAGCUUCUCCAAAUAAUUCAGUACACACCUUCCGAAAUAGACUUUGAGCGUACACUGCCGACUUCUGAUCCCCUCCGUCGCUGAAAUCAAUUAUGUAUAAUUGUAUCUUUGAUUUAGCUGUUAGAUUAAAUAACAGAAACAAGUAAAA